rnacentral:rRNA from 1 species
UACAGAGGGUGCAAGCGUUGUUCGGAAUUAUUGGGCGUAAAGGGAGUGUAGGCGGCAUUGAAAGUCUUCUGUGAAAUCUACGGGCUUACCCCGUAACGUGCAGAGGAUACUCCAAAGCUAGAGUGUCGGAGAGGAUAGUGGAAUUCCAGGUGUAGAGGUGAAAUUCGUAGAGAUCUGGAGGAACACCAGUGGCGAAGGCGACUAUCUGGCUGACAACUGACGCUGAGACUCGAAAGCAUGGGGAGCAAACAGG